CUUAAAAUUUUUGAUUUAUUUUUGUCUACAAAAGCCUAUUAAUGUUUAUUAAAAGCUUGAAUAUUUUCGUGAAAAUACACAAAACAUGUUAAAAGUUA